GUAAACAACACUAUCCUUUAUAAAACAUUGCUGUAAGUAUUAAACAAGGAAAAUAUUCAGUCUUUUUAAUUCUGUAGACUUUCGAUAUUUGACGUCUCGAUUCUUUGUGUUUUUUCUAUCUUUUAUGAAUGAAUGAUGUCUAUGAUUUGUGCGAGAUUUGGCUGCUAUUUCUAGCUAUGGAAGAUAGGUGUCUAUGAUUUGUGCGAGAUUUAGCUGCUAUUUCUAGCUAUGGAAGAGAAGUGUCUAUAUAAUUUGUGCGAGAUUUGGCUGCUAUUUCUAGCUAUGGAAGAGAGGUGUCUAUAUGAUUUGUGCGAGAUUUGGCUGCUAUUUCUAGCUAUGGAAGAGAGGUGUCUAUGAUUUGUGCGAGAUUUGGCUGCUAUUUCUAGCUAUGGAAGAGAGGUGUCUAUGAUUUGUGCGAGAUUUGGCUGCUAUUUCCAGCUAUGGAAGAGGUGUCUAUGAUUUGUGCGAGAUUUGGCUGCUAUUUCUAGCUAUGGAAGAGAGGUGUCUAUGAUUUGUGCGAAAUUUGGCUGCUAUUUCUAGCUAUGGAAGAGAGGUGUCUAUGAUUUGUGCGAAAUUUGGCUGCUAUUUCUAGCUAUGGAAGAGAGGUGUCUUUGAUUUGUGCGAGAUUUGGCUGCUAUUUUUAGCUAUGGAAGAGAGGUGUCUAUGAUUUGUGCGAGAUUUGGCUGCUAUUUCUAGCUAUGGAAGAGAGGUGUCUAUGAUUUGUGCGAGAUUUGGCUGCUAUUUCUAGCUAUGGAAGAGAGGUGUCUUUGAUUUGUGCGAGAUUGGCUGCUAUUUCUAGCUAUGGAAGAGAGGUGUCUAUAUGAUUUGUGCGAGAUUUGGCUGCUAUUUCUAGCUAUGGAAGAGAGGUGUCUAAGAUUUGUGCGAAAUUUGGCUGCUAUUUCUAGCUAUGGAAGAGAAGUGUCUAUGAUUUGUGCGAGAUUUGGCUGCUAUUUCUAGCUAUGGAAGAGAGGUGUCUAUGAUUUGUGCGAGAUUUGGCUGCUAUUUCUAGCUAUGGAAGAGAAGUGUCUAUGAUUUGUGCGAGAUUUGGCUGCUAUUUCUAGCUAUGGAAGAGAGGUGUCUAUGAUUUGUGCGAGAUUUGGCUGCUAUUUCCAGCUAUGGAAGAGAGGUGUCUAUAAUUUGUGCGAGAUUUGGCUGCUAUUUCUAGCUAUGGAAGAGAGGUGUCUAUGAUUUGUGCGAGAUUUGGCUGCUAUUUCCAGCUAUGGAAGAGAGGUGUCUUUGAUUUGUGCGAGAUUGGCUGCUAUUUCUAGCUAUGGAAGAGAGGUGUCUAUAUGAUUUGUGCGAGAUUUGGCUGCUAUUUCUAGCUAUGGAAGAGAGGUGUCUAAGAUUUGUGCGAAAUUUGGCUGCUAUUUCUAGCUAUGGAAGAGAAGUGUCUAUGAUUUGUGUUAGAUUUGGCUGCUAUUUCUAGCUAUGGAAGAGAAGUGUCUAUGAUUUGUGCGAGAUUUGGCUGCUAUUUCUAGCUAUGGAAGAGAGGUGUCUAUGAUUUGUGUUAGAUUUGGCUGCUAUUUCUAGCUAUGGAAGAGAAGUGUCUAUGAUUUGUGCGAGAUUUGGCUGCUAUUUCUAGCUAUGGAAGAGAAGUGUCUAUGAUUUGUGUUAGAUUUGGCUGCUAUUUCUAGCUAUGGAAGAGAAGUGUCUAUGAUUUGUGCGAGAUUUGGCUGCUAUUUCUAGCUAUGGAAGAGAGGUGUCUAUGAUUUGUGCGAGAUUUGGCUGCUAUUUCUAGCUAUGGAAGAGAAGUGUCUAUGAUUUGUGCGAGAUUUGGCUGCUAUUUCUAGCUAUGGAAGAGAGGUGUCUAUGAUUUGUGCGAGAUUUGGCUGCUAUUUCUAGCUAUGAAAGAGAGGUGUCUAUGAUUUGUGCGAGAUUUGGCUGCUAUUUCUAGCUAUGGAAGAGUGAUGUCGUCAAAAAAAAAAAAUAGUGCAACGGGUGUUAAAAAAUGGGGAGCAGGAAACGAAAAUGAAAGCAAAAAUGCGUGGAAAGAAACGGCGGGAUGGGGAGAGGAAUUCGGAAAAUUCACAAGAUCCGAGUUUUCCCUAAUAACUUUUAGGAAAAUGGUUUUAUUUUUUUUAAAUGAAAUUUUAUAUGAAUACCUUUGAAACGGCAUACAUUACGAUUAUAACGAAAUUUAUGGGUAAAAUCUUUUCCUAGGGGUGGGGAGAGGACUUCGGUAGAAUUUAUCUCCUUUCAGAAAGGGGUUAAUUUUGUAUUUUCGUUUUAUUAUCAUCAUCAUCAUCAUCAUUAUUAUUUUUGUAUUAUAAAUUCAGAAUUGAUUUUCCAAUUAAGGAAUAAAUUGUAUCUCAAUUGAAGAAUAAAUUGAAUUUAGAAUCACAAAUGUUUAUACAACAUAUUUUGCUUUUUUCUUCCAAAAUAUACAAAAUUUCAUUCGCGGACAACACCAGGUGUCUCUGCUAGUAAAUUAAAAAGUUCAGUUGUGAGGUAGAUGUUUAUUUCUACAGUUCCUCUCUACAGACGUGUUGUAGAUUUUCCACUGUUGAAUCUGUACUUAUAAAGUAACCUCUAUAUCUUUCACUGUUGUUUCUUUAUUAUUUCAGAAUAUCAGAUGACGUUUGGGAUACCAAGAGAUAUAUGCUCCUUAUCUAUCAUCUUUUGAAGACUGAAGAAAAAUGUUGUACUGAAGAGAUAUAUAACACUAUUUCUAUAAAUCUUUGGCAAAAUUACUGUGAAAUAUUUCCUCUGAACUGUGAUUAUUAGCAAAAUGUGUACUACACUGAUUGUAGUGUCUACAAGAUGAGAUUGUGUAAACUAAACUUGAAUAAAUUUACAAGAGUUCUUAGACAAAGGUAACACUAGACAAAAAUACAGCAGUAUGUAUAAUUGUAAAGAAUAAAGUACAAGAACAAA
rnacentral:lncRNA from 1 species